rnacentral:tRNA from 1 species
GGCCUUGUAGUUCAGCUGGUCGAGCGUGCGCUAUACAAAGCGUAGGCGGUAUCCAUGCGUGGGUUCGAAUUCCACCUAGGCUA